GUCCUAGCGGAAACGAGUUAUCUGAACCUUCGGGGAACGAUAACGGCGUCGAGCGGCGGACGGGUGAGUAAUGCCUGGGAAAUUGCCCUGAUGUGGGGGAUAACUAUUGGAAACGAUAGCUAAUACCGCAUAAUGUCUACGGACCAAAGAGGGGGACCUUCGGGCCUCUCGCUUCAGGAUAUGCCCAGGUGGGAUUAGCUAGUUGGGGAGGUAAUGGCUCACCAAGGCGACGAUCCCUAGCUGGUCUGAGAGGAUGAUCAGCCACACUGGAACUGAGACACGGUCCAGACUCCUACGGGAGGCAGCAGUGGGGAAUAUUGCACAAUGGGCGCAAGCCUGAUGCAGCCAUGCCGCGUGUAUGAAGAAGGCCUUCGGGUUGUAAAGUACUUUCAGUCGUGAGGC
rnacentral:rRNA from 1 species